GCCAAUGUGGCUUAGUGGAUUGAGUAUUGGACUACAACUCUGGGGGCCAGGGUUCAUUUCCCAGGUUGACC